rnacentral:rRNA from 1 species
CGGGACCUUUGCUCGAAUACGUUAGCAUGGAAUAAUAGAAUAGGUACGUAGCGGUCCUAUUUUGUUGGUUUCUAGGUACCGCCGUAAUGAUUAAUAGGGACAGUCGGGGGCAGUCAGUAUUCAAUUGUCAGAGGUGAAAUUCUUGGAUUUAUUGAAGACUAACUACUGCGAAAGCAUUUGCCAAGGAUGUUUUCAUUAAUCAGUGAACGAAAGUUAGGGGAUCGAAGACGAUCAGAUACCGUCGUAGUCUUAACCGUAAACUAUGCCGACUAGGGAUCGGGCGAUGUUCUUUUUCUGACUCGCUCGGCACCUUACGAGAAAUCAAAGUUUUUGGGUUCUGGGGGGGAGUAUGGUCGCAAGGCUGAAACUUAAAGAAAUUGACGGAAGGGCACCACCAGGCGUGGAGCCUGCGGCUUAAUUUGACCCAACACGGGGAAACUCACCAGGUCCAGAUGAAAUAAGGAUUGACAGAUUGAGAGCUCUUUCUUGAUUUUUCAGGUGGUGGUGCAUGGCCGUUCUUAGUUGGUGGAGUGAUUUGUCUGCUUAAUUGCGAUAACGAACGAGACCU